rnacentral:rRNA from 1 species
GAUGAACGCUGGCGGCGUGCCUAAUACAUGCAAGUCGAGCGAACAGAUGAGGAGCUUGCUCCUCUGACGUUAGCGGCGGACGGGUGAGUAAAACGUGGAUAACCUACCUAUAAGACUGGGAUAACUUCGGGAAACCGGAGCUAAUACCGGAUAAUAUAUUGAACCGCAUGGUUCAAUAGUGAAAGACGGUUUUGCUGUCACUUAUAGAUGGUUCCGCGCCGCAUUAGCUAGUUGGUAAGGUAACGGCUUACCAAGGCAACGAUGCGUAGCCGACCUGAGAGGGUGAUCGGCCACACUGGAACUGAGACACGGUCCAGACUCCUACGGGAGGCAGCAGUAGGGAAUCUUCCGCAAUGGGCGAAAGCCUGACGGAGCAACGCCGCGUGAGUGAUGAAGGUCUUCGGAUCGUAAAACUCUGUUAUUAGGGAAGAACAAAUGUGUAAGUAACUAUGCACGUCUUGACGGUACCUAAUCAGAAAGCCACGGCUAACUACGUG